GCAAAAGAAAGUCCAGUUUAGUUCAAAGUACACUUAGCAGAGCUGAUAUGAAAGAAAUGAUUGCUCUUUUAGCAAAACUCAGUUGGAAUCAUGCCUAACUUUAGGUGUCUACUCCAAAACUGCCUUUGUAUCCUAAAUACAGGUCUCCAUUGCCUAAUCUGUGAGCCCUGAUACCUUCCUCAGAUGUAAAUGCAUAUGCAGGAGGCCCCUGAAGCUAGGUGGGGUGACUCUCAUCUGCCAGUUCCUCCUGAUCUGUGAACAAUGCAUGGAAAAAUGCUUUCCUAGAGCACACAUUGGUCACCACAUAAAUACAGUGUUUCUGGUCCUGGAAGUGGAUGAUUUUUUUCUGGAAAUGAGUGGAAGAAGUUAUUUCCACAGCCUUAAAGAAGUAUCUUCCUUCUCUCCUCACUCCCCUGCUCCUCCUUUUCCUACAAAGCUUUUGGGAACUCCUGAGUGCAAUAGCAGGCAUUAUUGAUUUGAAACCUGAUGGCCAGGCUGAAGAAUGAGGAGAGGAAGUGGAAAUCUAUGUUUCAGCUUUGCUAGAUGUUCUCAGGCAGAUCAAGACUGUCUGUAC